rnacentral:lncRNA from 1 species
AAAUUUUACAAGUUACAAAAAUUUAAUAUUAGUUUAUCGGAGUGAUUACAAAAGUAUAAGUUUGAAAUAUAUGCUAGCUCAAGGGAUCAUCCUCAAUAAGAAGUAUAGAAGGGUUACUUAGACUUAUAAGAAGGCCGAGCCCACCGGCACUUAACACCAUCAACAACAGCACAAAGUUAGAACCUGAAAAACAACAGGGAAUAAAACCCUGAGUAUGGAAUUACUCAGCAAGUCUUACCCGACUAAAGAAAAGACUCUCAAGGGUAUGCUGGUUUAAGAGAGUCAAGGUAAGGCUUUUCAAUAAUCAAAGACUCUGUUUUGCAGAAAUGCUUACUAAAGUGGAUCCUUAAAAAUCCAAUUUUAUUUGUCAAGUUAAGUACAAUUACCUGCAACUAGAGUUCUUUCUACCCUAGUUCAAUCACUGGUCCUGCACUAGCCAAUUUCUUAACAAAAGCCCAUCAUCUUUAGUGGAAUGCUACGUGUAGGGCAGUGACCAAGUCUUCAUAACCGCGAAGGUACGGCGAUCCGAAUCGAUUAUACUCAGCUGAGGAUCUCCAAUCACACGACAUAUGUAGCACUUAACCCUUGCAUAUGUCAACCCGCCACCGGGGUUCUUAAGACCAGAUCAGGUUCACGCAAACCGAGAGCACAGAUACACCACCGUCCAGCCUCUUGCCACGGAGGGUACACGCUACUCUCGCCACCGCUCCACGCCCAUUUCGUGUUAUCUUAUUCUGGCCUUAGUCUGCCCGAGGCAAGGCUUACCCAUGACGAGGCAUGUGACCAGUUAAAGGGUCCUCGAUCAUCAAGCCUACAUCGACAAGGUCCUUAAUCGACUCAGACGGAGACACUACACCGAGACUCUCUUCUCGUGCAAGUCACCCGCCCGGUCUCAGCUUAAUCUUUUUAACCCAAAACUUGGUACCUGGCAGAGGUACAUCUUUUCCGAUGUUGAAUCCAUCAUGGCCAUGAUGGAUUCACCAUCAAGUUUUAUUUUUGAAAACAACCCUCCCACUUUGCCAAUCAUCUUUUGUAAAACAAAUCCUUUUGUUUUUCUAGAGCAAUACUAAGCAUAGUAAAACCUUUUUGUAAAAAUAGGAUUUCAAGGAGGGUAAUCAAGAUCAAGGAAGGUAAUGCAGGAAUUGUUUAAUCAAUCAACUCCUAUCACCUAAUGCAGCAAGCAAGUGAGAAAGAUUUUAAAAACAUCAAGGGAGGUGGCAAAUGCACCGGGGCUUGCCUGAGUAACACUAGGUUAGUGUUGUUAGACGACGUUCGCUUGACGAUCAGCCUUUAUUCCGAUACUCGCUCCAUUGUCCAUCAGCUUCAUCCUGCG